UCCCAAUGUUGCUGAUUCUAUUUCUGAUGGUGCUCCAGAAGAACCUAAUGUUGUUGCUCCUAAGGUACCUGUGAAUGCUUUUGUUCCAUCUUCAUCAAGAUCAACUCAAAAGAAUGUUGGGUUCUCUGGUACUGAUAAUGUUAUCGAUGUUGAGUUGGAUGAGACUAUGCGUAACCUACGAAAGAGUAGCUCAGAUGUUCUAAGUCAAAAGUUCAAGUCUAAGCCUGGUGUUACGAAUGUUGCUGUUGACAACCCAUUGUGUGAUAUUACUAAUGUUCGUUCUCGUUCUGGUUCUCGUGGCAAAUCUUCUGAUUUAGAUAAAGAUGUGAUUUAUCUUGACAAUGAUAAUGUUAUUGUACCUGAUUCUGUUUCUCCAAGUCCUUUUCG